AGCCUAAAGAAAGUAUCUUAGGUUACCCCUGCUCAGUGAAACAAUUUAACAGCCGCAGUACCCUGACUGUGCUAAGGUAGCAUAAUAAUUUGACUCUUAAUUUGAGCCUAGAAUGAAUGGGGUUAUGGGGAGAAUCUGUCUCCACUUAAAUUAUCUUGAAUUUAUUAAGGAGGUGAAAAUCCCUCCGAUUUUUAAAUAAGACGAGAAGACCCUAAGAGUUUUUCUUAUAUUUAUUGAAGUAUAAUGGUUUUGCUGGGGUGGCAAAGGAUUAUUAGAUCAUCCUUAUUUUUCUAUACGCUUGGGAAACUCAGUUUGGAUUGAUUAAACUACCUUAGGGAUAACAGCAUAAUUAUUUAUUUAGAUUAUGACCUCGAUGUUGGACUAGGAACGCUAUUAAGUAGAAUUUAAUUGCGAUAGUUCUGUUCGAACUUUUAUCUCCU
rnacentral:rRNA from 1 species